CCUACGGGUGGCAGCAGUGGGGGAUAUUGCACAAUGGGGGAAACCCUGAUGCAGCGACGCCGCGUGUGGGAAGACGGUCCUCUGGAUUGUAAACCACUGUCCCCAGGGCCGAAGAUGACGGUACCUGGGGAGGAAGUUCCGGCAAACUACGUGCCAGCAGCCGCGGUAAUACGUAGGGAGCGAGCGUUGUCGGGAAUUACUGGGUGUAACGGGAGCGUAGGCGGGGAUGCAGGUUGUGGGUCAAAAGUACCGGCUAAACUGGUAGUCACACUCAAAACUGGAGCUCUUGAGUGAAGUAGAGGCAGGCGGAAUUCGUGGUGUAGCGGUGAAAUGCGUAGAUAUUAGGAGGAACACCAGUGGCGAAGGCAGCCUGCUGGGCUUUUACUGACGCUGAGGCUCGAAAGUGUGGGGAGCAAACAGGAUUAGAUACCCCAGUAGUC
rnacentral:rRNA from 1 species